rnacentral:piRNA from 1 species
UGCCAGCGUGUGUCCUGCUAG